UCUGUUUCCGUUAACCAAUGGUUAAGCAUUACAAUCUAUGAAUUGAUCAUCCAGUUUUCUGGAUUCUUACCAAGUGGUUUGGCCACUUUGUUUGACGCCUCCCUGUUAGACUCCUGAGAGCCGCCUCGUUUCGCGGCUCUUUUUUU
rnacentral:sRNA from 1 species